AUACGGAAGGUCCGGGCGUUAUCCGGAUUUAUUGGAUUUAAAGAGAGCGCAGGCGGAGAUGCAAGCGUGACGUCAAAUUUCGGGGCUCAACCCCGUCUCGCGUCGCGAACUGCGUCCCUUGGUUGCGGGAAGGGGAGGCGGAACUCGUGGUGUAGCGGUGAAAUGCAUAGAUAUCACGAAGAACUCCGAUCGCGAAGGCAGCCUUCCGGCCCGUCAACGACGCUCAUGCUCGAAGGUGCGGGUAUCAAACAGGAUUAGAUACCCUGGUAGUCCGCACAGUAAACGAUGGACACCCGCGGUUUGGCCUGUAUGGCUGAGCCGCCAAGCGAAAGCGUUAAGUGUCCCACCUGGGGAGUACGCCGGCAACGGUGAAACUCAAAGGAAUUGACGGGG
rnacentral:rRNA from 1 species